rnacentral:rRNA from 1 species
CACGUAGUUAGCCGGGGCUUUCUCGUGAGGUACCGUCACCGCGCCGCCCUCUUCGAACGGCGCUCCUUCGUCCCUCACAACAGAGCUUUACGGCCCGAAGGCCUUCUUCGCUCACGCGGCGUCGCUCCGUCAGGCUUUCGCCCAUUGCGGAAGAUUCCCUACUGCUGCCUCCCGUAGGAGUCUGGGCCGUGUCUCAGUCCCAGUGUGGCCGGUCACCCUCUCAGGCCGGCUACGCAUCGUCGCCUUGGUGAGCCGUUACCUCACCAACUAGCUAAUGCGCCGCGGGCCCAUCCGCAAGUGACAGCCCAAAGGCCGCCUUUCAACCGAAGACCAUGCGGUCUUCGGUGUUAUCCGGUAUUAGCUCCGGUUUCCCGGAGUUAUCCCGGUCUUGCGGGCAGGUUGCCCACGUGUUACUCACCCGUCCGCCGCUGACCGAAUCAAGGCAAGCCCCAAUCCGGUCCGCUCGACUUGCAUGUAUUAGGCACGCCGCCAGCGUUCGUCCUGACGCCAGGAUCAAACUCU